rnacentral:rRNA from 1 species
UACGAAGGGGGCUAUCGUUGUUCGGAAUCACUGGGCGUAAAGCGUACGUAGGCGGAUGCUUAAGUCAGAGGUGAAAGCCUGGAGCUCAACUCCAGAACUGCCUUUGAUACUGGGCGUCUUGAGUCCGGGAGAGGUGAGUGGAACUGCUAGUGUAGAGGUGAAAUUCGUAGAUAUUAGCAAGAACACCAGUGGCGAAGGCGGCUCACUGGCCCGGUACUGACGCUGAGGUACGAAAGCGUGGGGAGCAAACAGG